rnacentral:snoRNA from 1 species
UCAUAAUGAUGCUAUGCCAUGCUAAUACCGAGAGAUCAGUUUUGGAUCUCGCUGAGUUAAACAUCUCAAAUAUUCUGAAUGUA